ACUCAAAUGAAUUGACGGGGGCUCACACAAGCGGUGGAGCAUGUGGUUCAAUUCGAAGCAACGCGAAGAACCUUACCAGGCCUAGACAUCAGGAUGUAACCGGCAGAAACGUCGGCCAACUCGCAAGAGAAAUCCUGUGCAGGUGUUGCAUGGCUGUCGUCAGCUCGUGUCGUGAGAUGUCGGGUUAAGUCCCAUAACGAGCGAAACCCCUGCCGUUAGUUGCUAACAGGUCAUGCUGAGCACUCUAGCGGGACUGCCUCGUAAGACGGAGGAAGGUGGGGACGACGUCAAGUCAUCAUGGCCCUUACGGCCUGGGCUACACACGUGCUACAAUGGGUGGUACAAAGAGAUCCGAAACGGCGACGUCAAGGAAAUCCCAGAAAGCCACCCCCAGUACGGAUUGAAGGCUGCAACUCGCCUUCAUGAAGCCGGAAUCGCUAGUAAUCGCGGGUCAGCCAUACCGCGGUGAAUAUGUUCCUGAGCCUUGUACACACCGCCCGU
rnacentral:rRNA from 1 species